AAUUAAUAUUAAUCAAUAUAACAAAAAAUAUUUUAACCAUAUGGUCCUUUCGUACUAAUAUGGAUUAAUAAUAUUAGGAUAGAAACCAACCUGGCUCACGCCGGUCUGAACUCAGAUCAUGUAAGAAUUUAAAGGUCGAACAGACCUAAUCAUUGGGCUCCUGCACCCAAAAUUUUUCUUAAUCCAACAUCGAGGUCGCAAUCUGCUUUGUCGAUAUGAGCUCUCAAAAACAAUUACGCUGUUAUCCCUAAGGUAACUUAAUCUUAUGAUCAUAAAUUAUGGAUCAAAAUAACAAACAUAAAUAAAUGAUAUAAUAAUGAAGAGUUUAUCUAUUCUUCAUGUCACCCCAACAAAACAUCAUCAUUAAAAAUAGAAAGACAAACAAAAAACUAUAUAAAAGUAAAAUGUCAAGCUCUAUAGGGUCUCCUCGUCCUAAAGAAGAAUUUAAGCCUUUUGACUCAAAAGUUAAAUUCAAAAAUUUAUUAAGAGACAGUUGAUUUCUUGUCAAGCCAUUCAUUCCAGCCACUAAUUAAGAGACUAAUGAUUAUGCUACCUUUGCACGGUCAUAAAUACCGCAGCUCUUUAAAAAUACGCUCAGUGAGCAGGCCAGACCUCAAAGUAUUAACAAGAGGACAUGUUUUUGAUAAACAGGCGGAAAGCAAUUUUGCCUAGUUCCUUAUAAUAAGUUCACAAGGUAAAAAUUUUAUACAAAUAAAUAUACUAAUUCUAUCAUUAUUACAAAAGUUUUAAAAUUAAAUUAAUAAUCUUAAUAAAGAACCUAAAAUAUUUAUAAAAUCAAAAUAAAAAAUAAUGAACUACAACGUAAUCUUAAAGAUAGCUGGUUUAAAGCUUACUAUUAUAUUUAUAUAAAAUAAAUUAUAGGUUAUUACCACAAAGCUUAUCCCUUAAAGAAUAAAUAAGUUAAUAUUUUUACUUAAAAAAUUAAAUAAAACCAAAUAACUUUAAAAAAUUAAAUUUUUUCUUAAGAAACUAGAUAUUUUGGGAAACGAUUAACAUCUCAUUUCUAUAAAUAAUUUAAUAAUAAUUAUGAUACAUUAACUAUAAAUUAUUUAUAAAUCAACCCAAAUCGAGACAAGUAAAAUAAAUACUAAAAUUUUGAUAAACCCUGAAUCAAAAGGAACAAUUGAAAUAAAAAACUUAAAUUGAAAAUGAUAACAAAUUUAUUCUCAACAUUUGACCCAUGAACUAACAUCUUUAAUUUAUCAUUAAAUUGAACUAUAACAUUUCUAGGACUAUUAUUAAUCCCAUCACUAUUUUGACUUACACCAUCACGAAUUAACAUUAUCUGAAAUAAACUAAAUUUAACCUUACAUAAUGAAUUUAAAACACUACUUGGACCAAAAUCAUUUAAUGGAACAACAUUCAUUUUCAUCUCAAUUUUUAUUAUAAUAUUAUUUAACAAUUUCAUAGGAUUAUUCCAUUAUAUUUUUACUAGAACAAGACAUUUAGCAUUAACAUUUGCAAUUGCCCUACCUAUAUGACUAAGAUUUAUAUUAUUUGGAUGAAUUAACCAUACUAAUCAUAUAUUUACACACCUUGUACCACAAGGUACACCGCCUGCAUUAAUAUCAUUUAUAGUACUAAUUGAAACAAUUAGUAAUGUUAUUCGACCAGGUACAUUAGCAGUACG